CCCUGGUAGUCCACGCCGUAAACGAUGUCUACUUGGAGGUUGUGGCCUUGAGCCGUGGCUUUCGGAGCUAACGCGUUAAGUAGACCGCCUGGGGAGUACGGUCGCAAGAUUAAAACUCAAAUGAAUUGACGGGGGCCCGCACAAGCGGUGGAGCAUGUGGUUUAAUUCGAUGCAACGCGAAGAACCUUACCUACUCUUGACAUCCAGAGAACUUUCCAGAGAUGGAUUGGUGCCUUCGGGAACUCUGAGACAGGUGCUGCAUGGCUGUCGUCAGCUCGUGUUGUGAAAUGUUGGGUUAAGUCCCGCAACGAGCGCAACCCUUAUCCUUGUUUGCCAGCGAGUAAUGUCGGGAACUCCAGGGAGACUGCCGGUGAUAAACCGGAGGAAGGUGGGGACGACGUCAAGUCAUCAUGGCCCUUACGAGUAGGGCUACACACGUGCUACAAUGGCGCAUACAGAGGGCAGCAAGCUAGCGAUAGUGAGU
rnacentral:rRNA from 1 species